AAAAAAAAACACAAGAAAAAUAAAAGUAGUACUAUCCAAAGUGGGGCAAAAUGUACACUUAUAUCCCUAAGAUUUCACACAUUAUUGUGCUCAUCACUCCACUUCCCCAUUUGUCUGGGUGUGGGAACACAGACAGGCAUAGUUCUCUUUCCCAUAUAAUGAGUAUUGUAAUAGUAAUAAUUAUUAUUAUUGUUAUUAUUAUUAUUAUUUGAUAAGCAGCAUUCACAGGAUUGUUGGCCUUUUCUGGCUAUUUUGGGGCGUCCAGAAUUUUAUAGCACUAAAUCCCUGAUUGUUAACCCCUGUGAACAGGAUUUAAACAGGGUGGAAUGGUGUAACAGGAUUAUUUGGAUGUUUGAAAUUCUUCAAGUGUUUGUCGGGAGAAUGAUGGAAAUAUUGGGCUGUUUAUACUGCUCAUGAUACCUCUGUUAUUAUUAUUAUUUUUUUUUUCUAGAUUUUUUCCCUUUAUGUAUAAAGAGUUGCAGUUAAAAUGAUAUUCUAUCGAUAAUCUAUUAUGAUCAAUGUAAAAGAACCAUGGUUCUUUAGAGUCAGUUACCAAGUUUUUGUGCAUCUUAGUUUCUGUAUUUUGCUGGAGUUCAUGAUUUUUUUCGUUAUGGUCAUAUGCUGAAGAUCUUGUCGAAGCAUGUAGCCAUGUAGGAGUUUGGGUUUUGGAUUUCUUUAGCAGACUCUGUUCAUAGACCAGAAUGUUAAUGAAAAUCCACUUUGUUGAUUACAUGUUUUCAGGCUGAUGGUGUUCAAGAAAUGGCAGCUGUGGCAGGUGCUGUCCCAGCUGUGGAACAAAGGGAGGAGCUUUACGACCCUUUGGCUACACCAGACGUUGAUAAGUUAAAUGCAUCUUACCUUGCAAUUCAUGGAAGAGCCAUGGUGGGCCGGCCUUUAUGGCUGCGGACUUCAGAACUUUCACAGCAAGCGUAACUUCUUGAUGUUGUACAUCAGUAAUAUCUCUUCAUUCCUUUGGUGCUUCAGUAAUGUUUAAGAGGCAAAUCAGGUGUGCCACAAGUAGGUUAAAAAUUUACAAGAAGGAAGAUUCAAUGGGUGAGAGAUCAGAGAAGCACAUGUUUUAGUACUGUAUAUCGAUGAAGCUUUUAAAUUUAUUUCUUAAUUGUUAAGGUUUGAGCAUUAGUGAACAGUAGACACUCUGAUUCAUUGAAUCCAAUUCUUCUAUAAUUUUGAAUAAAUUUUCCUUCCUUGAUAAAAAA